rnacentral:rRNA from 1 species
GAUGAACGCUGGCGGUGUGCCUAAUACAUGCAAGUCGAGCGAACGGACGAGAAGCUUGCUUCUCUGAUGUUAGCGGCGGACGGGUGAGUAACACGUGGAUAACCUACCUAUAAGACUGGGAUAACUUCGGGAAACCGGAGCUAAUACCGGAUAAUAUUUUGAACCGCAUGGUUCAAAAGUGAAAGACGGUCUUGCUGUCACUUAUAGAUGGAUCCGCGCUGCAUUAGCUAGUUGGUAAGGUAACGGCUUACCAAGGCAACGAUGCAUAGCCGACCUGAGAGGGUGAUCGGCCACACUGGAACUGAGACACGGUCCAGACUCCUACGGGAGGCAGCAGUAGGGAAUCUUCCGCAAUGGGCGAAAGCCUGACGGAGCAACGCCGAGUGAGUGAUGAAGGUCUUCGGAUCGUAAAACUCUGUUAUUAGGGAAGAACAUAUGUGUAAGUAACUGUGCACAUCUUGACGGUACCUAAUCAGAAAGCCACGGCUAACUACGUG